rnacentral:rRNA from 1 species
CGCCAGACUCCUACGGGAGGCAGCAGUGGGGAAUAUUGCACAAUGGGGGAAACCCUGAUGCAGCGACGCCGCGUGAGUGAAGAGGUAUUUCGGUAUGUAAAGCUCUAUCAGCAGGGAAGAAAAUGACGGUACCUGACUAAGAAGCCCCGGCUAACUACGUGCCAGCAGCCGCGGUAAUACGUAGGGGGCAAGCGUUAUCCGGAUUUACUGGGUGUAAAGGGAGCGUAGGUGGCAUGGUAAGCCAGAAGUGAAAACCCGGGGCUCAACCCCGCGGAUUGCUUUUGGAACUAUCAGGCUGGAGUGCUGGAGGGGUAAGCGGAAUUCCUAGUGUAGCGGUGAAAUGCGUAGAUAUUAGGAGGAACACCGGUGGCGAAGGCGGCUUACUGGACAGAAACUGACACUGAGGCUCGAAAGCGUGGGGAGCAAACAGGAUUAGAUACCCUCGUA